AACGAACGCUGGCGGCAGGCUUAACACAUGCAAGUCGAACGAGAUCUUCGGAUCUAGUGGCAGACGGGUGAGGAACACGUGGGAACAUCCCUUUCAGUUCGGAAUAACGUUGGGAAACUAACGCUAAUACCGGAUACGUCCUUCGGGAGAAAGAUUUAUCGCUGAAAGAUUGGCCCGCGUCUGAUUAGCUAGUUGGUGAGGUAAUGGCUCACCAAGGCUACGAUCAGUAGCUGAUCUGAGAGGAUGAUCAGCCACAUUGGGACUGAGACACGGCCCAAACUCCUACGGGAGGCAGCAGUGGGGAAUAUUGGACAAUGGGCGCAAGCCUGAUCCAGCCAUGCCGCGUGAGUGAUGAAGGCCUUCGGGCUGUAAAGCUCUUUUAUCCGGGAAGAUAAUGACUGUACCGGAAGAAUAAGCCCCGGCAAACUUCGUGCCAGCCGCCGCAGUAAAAC
rnacentral:rRNA from 1 species